UACGUAGGGUGCAGGCGUUAAUCGGAAUUACUGGGCGUAAAGCGUGCGCAGGCGGUUUGCUAAGACAGGUGUGAAAUCCCCGGGCUUAACCUGGGAACUGCGCUUGUAACUGGCAAGCUAGAGUGUGGCAGAGGGGGGUGGAAGUUCCACGUGUAGCAGUGAAAUGCGUAGAGAUGUGGAGGAACACCGAUGGCGAAGGCAGCCCCCUGGGCUAACACCUGGACGCUCAUGCACG
rnacentral:rRNA from 1 species